UGCACUUGGUAAACGAAAGUUAGUUAGAAUAAUAAUAACUAAAACAAGCUAUCAAAGAUCAAAUUUAUUAAGUUUUUUCACCUUAUUUUGGCAACAAACAAAACGUCACUUGUACAUUCAUUGCCCAACAUCGAUUUUACGAAAAAGUUUAUUCAUUCUAAAACUUAACGAAUUUUCCCUAAAGUAAGAAUGUAGUUAAAGGGGACGAAUUACUGAACGUUAGUAUUUUGGGUUGAAAUUGAAAGUAAACCGAAACAAUCAAUGAUAUAACUUAAGCAUAGUUUGUGUGAAUAUUUACCAUGAAAUUCAAUUAUGAAACAAUAAUCGUGAAAAAAGUAUAAAUUAUAAAACAUUUGCUACAAUUUUGUAAGAUUUGCUGGGUUUGUAUAAUAACGCCCAAACAAGCACGAAACGAAAUGGAAAUGUCUACACUGAACGACGAUGCCACCACUGCGGUAAUGAACACAACACCAACAGUGGUCGAUAAAGCUAAGGUGAUGCAGGGAAUGUUUAUGAAGUCACUCGAGCAAAACGUUGGCGACAACCCUGGUCUAGCGUUGCAACUUCUCCAGGCAUUCCUGGUCCUUUACACGAUGAUAUAUGUUGGGACUAUGUUGUUUGUUGCUGUGAAAUGUGAUUGGAAAAUGCCCUUGUAUUAUGCAGAACACGACAGAAAAACCUAAGCUA